GACGAACGCUGGCGGCGUGCUUAACACAUGCAAGUCGAACGGGCCCGCUCUCUUUUUUGGGGGUGGGUUGAGUGGCGACCGGGUGAGUAUCACGUGAGUAACCUGCCCCCUGCUCCUGGAUAACUGCUUGAAAGGGCGGCUAAUACGGGGUGUGCCGGCUGGUCCGCAUGGGCCUGGUCGGGAUAGUUUCAUCUUCGGGUGUUUCGGUGGGGGAUGGGCUCGCGGCCUAUCAGCUUGUUGGUGGGGUGAUGGCCCACCAAGGCGGUGACGGGUAGCCGGCCUGAGAGGGUGGGCGGCCACACUGGGACUGAGACACGGCCCAGACUCCUGCGGGAGGCAGCAGUGGGGGGUAUUGCACAAUGGGCGGAAGCCUGAUGCAGCGACGUCGCGUGAGGGAUGGAGGCCUUCGGGUGGUGAACCUCUUUCUCCGGUGGUGAAGGCCCUGUCCGUUGCGGCGGGGUUGACGGUAGCCGGGUAUGAAGCGCCGGCUAACUACGUG
rnacentral:rRNA from 1 species